rnacentral:snRNA from 1 species
AGCUUUGUGCAGUACCAGUAUUGUAGCCAAUGAGGUUUAUCCGAGGCAUGAUUAUUGCUAAUUGAAAAUCUCCAUUACU